rnacentral:rRNA from 1 species
GACGAACGCUGGCGGCGUGCUUAACACAUGCAAGUCGAACGAUGAAGCCGGAGCUUGCUCUGGUGAAUUAGUGGCGAACGGGUGAGUAACACGUGAGUAACCUGCCCUUGACUCUGGGAUAACUGCUAGAAAUGGUAGCUAAUACCGGAUACGACCCUCGGAGGCAUCUCCAGGGGGUGGAAAGAAUUUCGGUCAAGGAUGGACUCGCGGCCUAUCAGCUAGUUGGUGAGGUAACGGCUCACCAAGGCGACGACGGGUAGCCGGCCUGAGAGGGGGACCGGCCACACUGGGACUGAGACACGGCCCAGACUCCUACGGGAGGCAGCAGUGGGGAAUAUCGCACAAUGGGCGCAAGCCUGAUGCAGCAACGCCGCGUGAGGGAUAACGGCCUUCGGGUUGUAAACCUCUUUUAGUAGGGAAGAAGCGAAAGUGACGGUACCUGCAGAAAAAGCACCGGCUAACUACGUGCCAGCAGCCGCCGUAA